AUAUCAUAGCUCAGUCGGCGUCGAUGGAAGUGCGGCUGCAGUAAGAGAGUAGAGCAUGGCAUAGAUAUUGGGGCGGUGGAGGAGAAGGAGAAUGGGGAGGAAGCAAGAAGGAGAAGGAAAGAAAAAAACGACAAGUAGAAGGAAGACUAACCGAGAGCAAAGAAAAAUUACUGAGAGAGAAAAAGGAAUAAAGAUAUUUUGUCUAGUUUU
rnacentral:lncRNA from 1 species